rnacentral:pre_miRNA from 1 species
UUUGUACUCCCUCCAUCCCAAAAUUCUUGUCUUAAAUUUGUCAAAAUACAGAUGUAUCUAGUUACAUUUUAGUGUUAGAUACAUCCGUAUCUAAAAAAAUGUAAGGCAAGAAUUUUGGGAUGGAGGUAAUACUAC